rnacentral:snRNA from 1 species
GGAUGUGAGGGCAAUCUGGCUGCGACAUCUGUCACCCCUUUGAUCACCAGGGUUGAUUUGGCUGAUCUGGCUGGCUAUGUGGUUGUCCCCUUCCUCCCUCCAUGCUCCACGUGUGUCCCUCCCAAAGCUGCGCGCUGUGUCAAAGAGGACAACAAUCCCCGAUGGUGCAGGACCGGUCUUUGGUCAAGAGUAUACAAGUAGCUACGCUCCCCUGCUAGAACCUCCAAACAAGCCCUCAAAUUACUAGAUUGUCAGGAACCAUUGCUUUGGAGAAUAUUUUCUAAUCUUUCCAGAGGUGUUUUUGUUUUGGG